UAUGCUUUCGAAGGUAUGGCCUUCACCAAUCCCAUGUUUUAGUUUGUUUCUGAUUCUUUUUAGUUUUGGAUUUGUAAUUUUUGUUUGUUGAGUGAGAAGCUUCAACUUUUAGCUCAGAGUUUGAAGCCUCAAAGUUUCCAGUUUAUGAGUCAAGUUAUACUGGGCCAGAGUCACCUUUAUCAACUGCCUCUUUAUAGAAGGAUAAAAGUCCUUCUCUGGAAUGCAAUGUUAGUUCUCCUACUAUCAACCUCUACCGACUGUUUCUCAUCAAUGGUGCAACCAGUUGACCCAGAGGGAAUCUUAAGGAUUGCAUUUUGGGCACAUGCUUUUGCAUUUUAAGGUCUGAAACUUCUUGCUGAUAACACUAAUUGUUUGCACACUAGAAAAUUCUUCAUUUGAUUCAAUUGAGUUUUUAA